rnacentral:rRNA from 1 species
GUAGGUGGCAAGCGUUGUCCGGAAUUAUUGGGCGUAAAGCGCGCGCAGGCGGUUCUUUAAGUCUGAUGUGAAAGCCCACGGCUCAACCGUGGAGGGUCAUUGGAAACUGGAGAACUUGAGUACAGAAGAGGAAAGCGGAAUUCCACGUGUAGCGGUGAAAUGCGUAGAGAUGUGGAGGAACACCAGUGGCGAAGGCGGCUUUCUGGUCUGUAACUGACGCUGAGGCGCGAAAGCGUGGGGGAGCAAACAGGAUUAGAUACCCUGGUAGUCCACGCCGUAAACGAUGAGUGCUAAGUGUUAGGGGGUUUCCGCCCCUUAGUGCUGCAGCUAACGCAUUAAGCACUCCGCCUGGGUGUACGGCCGCAAGGCUG